rnacentral:rRNA from 1 species
AUACAGGAUCCCCUAUACGGCGAGUGAACGGGAAGAGCUCAAAUUUGAAAUCUGGCUGUCUUCGAUAGUCCGAGUUGUAAUCUAUAGAAGCGUUUUCCGUGCUGAACUGUGUCUAAGUCCCUUGGAACAGGGUAUCAAAGAGGGUGAUAAUCCCGUACUUGACACAAUCAUCAGUGCUCUGUGAUACGUUCUCUACGAGUCGAGUUGUUUGGGAAUGCAGCUCAAAAUGGGUGGUAAAUUCCAUCUAAAGCUAAAUAUUGGCGAGAGACCGAUAGCGAACAAGUACCGUGAGGGAAAGAUGAAAAGCACUUUGGAAAGAGAGUUAAACAGUACGUGAAAUUGUUAAAAGGGAAACGAUUGAAGUCAGUCGUGUUUAUUGGACUCAGCUAGUUCUUCUAGUCUACUUCCUUUAAACGGGUCAACAUCAGUUUUGUCCGGUGGAUAAAGGUGUUAGGAAAGUAGCUUCUCUCGGGAAGUGUUAUAGCCUAGUAUCACAUACACUGGGGGAGACUGAGGACUGCAGCUCGCCUUUUGGCCGGGGUUCGCCCACGUUCGAGCUUAGGAUGUGCAUAAUGCUUACG